rnacentral:rRNA from 1 species
GACGAACGCUGGCGGCGUGCUUAACACAUGCAAGUCGAGCGAUGAAGCUCCUUCGGGAGUGGAUUAGCGGCGGACGGGUGAGUAACACGUGAGCAACCUGCCUCAAAGAGGGGGAUAGCCUCCCGAAAGGGAGAUUAAUACCGCAUAAUAUCAGAGUUUCACAUGAUUUUCUGAUUAAAGGAGUAAUCCGCUUUGAGAUGGGCUCGCGGCGCAUUAGCUAGUUGGUGAGGUAACGGCUCACCAAGGCGACGAUGCGUAGCCGACCUGAGAGGGUGAUCGGCCACAUUGGGACUGAGACACGGCCCAGACUCCUACGGGAGGCAGCAGUGGGGAAUAUUGCGCAAUGGACGAAAGUCUGACGCAGCAACGCCGCGUGGGUGAUGAAGGUCUUCGGAUUGUAAAGCCCUGUCUUCGAGGACGAUAAUGACGGUACUCGAGGAGGAAGCCACGGCUAACUACGUG